AGUCGACGAUGAAUCUUCUAGCUUGCUAGAAGUGGAUUAGUGGCGCACGGGUGAGUAAUGCAUAGGUUAUGUGCCCUUUAGUCUGGGAUAGCCACUGGAAACGGUGAUUAAUACUGGAUACUCCCUACGGGGGAAAGUUUUUCGCUAAAGGAUCAGCCUAUGUCCUAUCAGCUUGUUGGUGAGGUAAUGGCUCACCAAGGCUAUGACGGGUAUCCGGCCUGAGAGGGUGAUCGGACACACUGGAACUGAGACACGGUCCAGACUCCUACGGGAGGCAGCAGUAGGGAAUAUUGCUCAAUGGGGGAAACCCUGAAGCAGCAACGCCGCGUGGAGGAUGAAGGUUUUAGGAUUGUAAACUCCUUUUGUUAGAGAAGAUUAUGACGGUAUCUAACGAAUAAGCACCGGCUAACUCCGUGCCAGCAGCCGCGGUAAUACGGAGGGUGCAAGCGUUACUCGGAAUCACUGGGCGUAAAGAGUGCGUAGGCGGGGUAAUAAGUCAGAUGUGAAAUCCUGUAGCUUAACUACAGAACUGCAUUUGAAACUGUUACUCUGGAGUGUGGGAGAGGUAGGUGGAAUUCUUGGUGUAGGGGUAAAAUCCGUAGAGAUCAAGAGGAAUACUCAUUGCGAAGGCGACCUGCUGGAACAUUACUGACGCUGAUGCACGAAAGCGUGGGGAGCAAACAGGAUUAGAUACCCUGGUAGUCCACGCCCUAAACGAUGGAUGCUAGUUGUUGCCUUGCUUGUCAGGGCAGUAAUGCAGCUAACGCAUUAAGCAUCCCGCCUGGGGAGUACGGUCGCAAGAUUAAAACUCAAAGGAAUAGACGGGGACCCGCACAAGCGGUGGAGCAUGUGGUUUAA
rnacentral:rRNA from 1 species